GGGUGUGUGAGAGAGAGAGGGGAAGAGCUGGGAAAAUGAGAGCGUCGGAAGCCUAGGGGGUGCCUGUUGAAUGGGGUGAGAUGGGAUUUGCGGGGAUGCUGCUGCUGCUGCUGCUGCUGAUAUGGUGUGAGGGAAAGAAUUGAGUGUCGGCCCACGCUGGUGGGUGUUUAAGUGCCAUAAAGUGGUGGUGAGUGAGAGUGACUGAGAGAGUGAGUGAGUGAGGGAGCGAGCGAGCGAAAGAGAGAUGCUAGCUGCUGCCUUUCGAGCUCUCUUCUGUACGGGGGCGAGUACAACAGUUGGAUUGAUGAACGCUAGCUCCGAAGGUAGACACCGUUAGGCUGUCGCCUGCGAUGAGAGAGAGGGGCUCCAUGGAGAGAGACCGCGAGCGCCGUGAGUGAGUGUGUGCGUGUGUGUGUGUAUGUGUGGUGAUGGGAUGCUGAUGUCGAUGAUGGGAGGAUACAGACUUUUUUUUUUUUUUUUUUUUCCCCCUCCUAUUCUUUUGUUUCUGGUUCUUUUCUCCCCCUUUUUCCCUUAUUUAAAAAGUGUAUACAUCUCUCUCUCUCUCUCUCUCUCUCUCUCUCUAUAUAUAUAUAUAUAUAAUAUGUGUGUGUAUAUAUAUAUUUCCUUGUAAGGUGAGUGGUGUGAGAAGGAGGGUCGCAGCAAGAGUAGGGGUGCAGGGAGGUGGAUGCGCGAGUGGGGAGGAAUGUAGAGGUAUUUGGAGGGAGGUUCAAGUUGAUUCUGUGGGAGCGUAAGAUCGGGUGAGGACAACGACAGACAGUAGCUGUGGUAGAGCGCGUGGGGCCUGGUGCGACUGGUGGCGGGUCGACCUUGAUUGUUGAUUAAUUACGGACUAAGGCUGGUAUCGGCUAAUGCAUUGGAAGUGUGGUGGUGCAGCCGGAGUUAUACAAAAUUCCGACCUUUCGCAAGUUGCUUUGAUUCCUCCGUCACGUCUGGGGCCGCCAGCAGGCCACCAUGCGUAUUCGGAAGCGGCCCCCAGCGUCUGUUGAGGCGGCCAGGGCCCCUCCAGCCUCGAAUGAAAAGUCAUCCUCUAGCACUCCAGGAGUAUCAGGAGCCUCAGAAUGCCGUGGAUUCUCAGGAGUCUCCUCUAAUCCUAUGGAAAGAAUGACAGGUGGUCACCUCGAAAGUUCACAAGUUACGAUAUUUGAAGGAGAGAGGUUUGUGACGGAGAAAACUUAUCAUAAGGAUGUGCAAGAAGAACAAGUCGCAGAUAGACACCAGAACUCCGAGCCUGCUGAAGAGGAUAAAAGGAUUAUUAAUGGAAGCAUUAAGCACGAAGACAACGCAGGUGCAGAGCUGCUGAUGAGGUCAUUACUGAUGGUAUUUGAGCGAACAGGAAAUAGUGGGUUGACUGCUCGAGAGGCAGUGGCUAAGCUUGUGGAGUACAAUCUGCCGGGGUUGCAAGAAGGAAUCCACGAGAGAUCAAGCGUGCAAGUUGUCAAGGUCUUACGCACUCAGGACUUUAUUCAUCUCGAAGAUGGAAAAUACUAUAUCUACAAUACCACACAUAGCGUGCCACAUGCUGUUGUUGCAGAAACAUCAUCCGAGUCCUCUCAACAACCCAGGGAGGACAUGAGUGGCAAUUCUCCAAGUUUUGAUAGUGGUAGAAGGAAGCGAGUUGCUGGCUCAGUGCAGACACGUUUGAAAACGGCAGUUGGUUCGAAAGGUACUAAGGAUAAGUCUUCAAAUUGUCAUAUAUUAGGGAUUGAUUUACCUUUGGCCGAGAAAGUGGAAUUCAAGAAACGCAGGAGACGGCCACCCUCUUCCCAGCAUGAGCUCGCAAUUGGACCCAGGCAGUGUAAGCGAUAUGAUGGCAGGGGCUGGCAGUGCACACGGGAGACCGAAGAAGGUUUUUCUUUCUGUGAACACCAUCAAGCUCUAAUGAACAAGCGUACUCUUCGUCUGAACUUGGCUAAAACGAAGAAAACGGGUGCUGCUGAUGUAGAUGUGAACUUGAAUCCAGAAUUACACUCGAAAGUGGCGAUCGAAGGCUCCAGUGAAAAUUACAAUCAGGUUCCUACGGACAAGGCUGAUAUAGAGAAUCCUGAGCACAAUCAACGGCGUAGAGGAAUUAAAGCCCGAUCGUUGAAAUCUAUUAAAUGAUCCAACGAAGGACGAGACAGCUAAAGGCGGCCAAGAAAAUUCUAAUCUAUCUAUAGUCAAUCGACUAUCAGAAGAGGACAUGCACUCGCCGAAACUUCACUGAAAUUAUGGCUGUAAGAAAGCAUAUGAGAUUACCAGCCUUUAGCUGCAAGUGCAUGAAUGGAUUGGUUACAUGUUGUAAUUAUCUCAAGCUGAGUAAUUACCAUUCAUGCUGUGUCGGGUUGAAGUUCUUGUAAGUACGCAGAACCAUUUUUUUGUGGAUUGAUUAGGUUCACUCCAUCACUAAUGUCUUCUAAUGACGGCGUUAUAUCUUCGAUCGAUGUCAUUACGCUUCCGAUCGUAUGCUUUUGUUUUGUUACAUUUCUACGUUUGGUUGGAAGUCCAUCAGGUUUUCCAAACACUCGAAUGAUGAGGUUGCAUGCAACAGCGUCUUCGAAAUAGUACUCCGUACAGAAACCUAGUGCUGUCCUCCAAGAAUGCGACUUGUGUUUUCGGCUGGAAUCAAUUUCCAAAGAUUGCAAAGGGCGCUCACAUCAAUAUAUUUUGUCCUCAAUCGCAUGGCCCAACUCCAGUGUUCACAGCCUGUGAAAGCAGAGAUAAAAAUUCGGGCGAUCUAAGGAAAUUGUGGGCCUCCCCUGAUACCAGUCCAGAUAUGAUUCCUCUAGGAGUACAUGCGCCUCGCAAUCUGGCGACAAGCUCUCUGCCGGACCUUGAACAGAAAUUCUCAUGCAAGGUGGGUCAAAGUGGCUUGAUCACGGCGAGCGAGACGUUAAUGAGCACAGAACCCCAGAAUUUUACCAAAAAUGUCCGUAUUACUACAGCUCCACACCUCCAAACCCAAAAGUCCGACGAGCCCGGGUUCCUCCAGGUCCAGUCUGGACUUCGUCGGGUAUCGUGCUCUGUAGGCCCUACUGAUCGACGAAAGCAGAUCGACCACCUCCAGGAUCCAAUUGCAUCCCCGGCAGGUAUCUGGAAUCAGCAGGCAGAGGGUCGGGUCCCCUUUCCAGAACGAAGGCAAGACGCCGGGUGGGAACUGGCAGUCGAACCCAGUGCUAGGGAAUCCAGACCAUGCAAUGCUAUCAGUUGCAUGCCACUGAUUGACGAGGCUUAGGAUGAAAGAACAGCAGCAGCAGCAUCAACAGCAGCAGGCAGGGUCCACUAGCAUCGAUCGGGUCGUAUUCCAGUGUAAGCCGCAGUGUAUUCUUCUUUAUGCCAGCGAUUCGGUUGAUCCGCGCCGCAGAUUGAUGCGCUGCAGAGCCCCACACGCGAUUUGCCGAACAGCAUUCAACCAGUGAACGGGACAAAGUACUGAUAUACUGAUAGACCCAGCUCAGAUUCUGGCGCCUUCCUUUUCCUCCCUCAUCCAAAAGAAGAGAAGAGCAGGGCAGGGCCAUCUUUCCCUUUCCCCAUAUUUACCCUUCUUCUUCCCCUUCCCUUCCACUUCAGUGUCGGUUACUGUGCCUCAUUCGCUUUUCCCUGCAUGUAGAUUCUGCCCCCACCCCCCCGCCCCCUCCCCACCUCCUCCCUAAAGCGUUCCAAUCCGUUCAUUGAGAUUGCCAUCCGAUCGCUUUUCCUCCAUAAAGUGAGUCCCAUGUCCCUACCCCUACUCUCUUCCUAUUCUCGUAAAAACCAUUUCCUACCUUUACUAUAUUAACGUCGCUGUUAGAUAAUGUCAUUCUCAGUCAUUCUUCGUCAUUCUUAGUCGUAUUCGCCUCAUCAGGUAUCCAGAAUCUCCUUCUCUGGAUGAUUCUGGAUGACUCUACUUUUGGGGUUUACACUUUCGUAAUCUUUGUGAGCUGCGGAUUUGCUUUCAAGGACAUGUGUGUCUGCAGUUGGAAUGUCGUUUAAGAGUUGGGGUUGUGUUAUUAUUUUUCUAGAUGCGGAAAUAUGAAGAUUUGAGAUAUUAUAUUCGUUGUAUUUUAUUACUAAUGAGAUAGGGAUUUUGAAAUUGGUA